CUGAAGUCAGCCGAGACUACCCGCUGAACUUAAGCAUAUCAAUAAGCGGA
rnacentral:rRNA from 1 species